rnacentral:lncRNA from 1 species
AAAGUGUCUUCAAUCUUGAUCAAUGUAUCUCUCACGAAUCUGGUUAUUCAAUGAUUGUUUAUGAGAACAUUGUCUUUUCUCUCAAGAAUACUUUUUCAGCUCUCUCAAUGAUUAUGGAUAAUCUUUUUGGCUUUGAUCUGAAAAAGCAAUAUCAGAAUGUUAACAAUGUGUUCUUAAGAGUUCUUCAGUAUUCUGAAGUAUAUUCAAGAUGUUUUUCAAGUGUUUACAUGUGUUAAUGAGAGAAUGAUUGAAAACAGUUUAUAUAGUUUCUGAAAAACAACUAAN